AUGUCUAGGAGCCCAGGAGGCAGCAAAGAACACAAGUCCAGCCUGGGUCCCAGUGGCAACAGAUGCUGGAGAGGUGAGGCAUCCCCAUGCUGCUGCCCAAUUGGCUGUCCCCCAAGCUCCUUCUGUGGUGGCAAUUCUUUGAUCACACUGACACUUGCUCUGAAGAUAUCUACUCCACUCAAGGUGGCCUUCUCACCUCUGGAAGGAGGCCAGGAAAGCUGCAGUUUUCGCCUCAUAUCAGGUACUCAAGUUUUUUUCAGAGGUUAUGAAGAGUUUCCCAUCCAGCAGCAUGUAGCCCAAUUUCCCAGGAAGAAGCAGGCCCUUCUCAUCCUGGAUUAAACAGAACCCUCUGUAGCAGAUGCAGUGGCUUCAUGAAGAGAGAGGCCUUAUCUUUUGGAGAGUGUAGUUGUCCAGGGCUGGGGAGGGAGCAGACUUGGGUCUGGUGCAUAGAUUGUUAAUUCUCAGUACAGAAAAGCCUCAAUUCACAGAUGAGCCAAGAUGGGAGGGAACCUUCCUGACAUAAAUUAGAUACAAAAAUUAGACAAUGCAGAUAAGAGUGGAGUCAGUUUUCCUGUGAAACUGUAAUUAUAGAACUGUUUAUUUAUUGGUACUACUGCCUAGAUUCAAGGAGAUGGGCAAAAUUACCUCUUGAUCAACCCACACAUACUUAUUUUUUAAAAUUUUAUUAAAAUAUGUUGAUUUACAAUGUUUUGCCAGUUUCUGCUGUACAGCAAAAUGACCCAGUUGUGUGUAUAUAUAUAUUCCCUUUCUUCCAUCAUGGUCUAUCCCAAGAGACUGGAUCUAGUUCCCUGUGCUGUACAGCAGGACCUUAUUGCUUAUCCAUUCUAAAUGUAAUAGUUUGCAUCUACUAACCCCAAACUCCCAUCCAUCCCUCCACCUCCUGGCAACCACAGGUCUAUUCUCUACGUCUGAACCCACAUGUACUUAUUGAGCAUCUAUUGUUUUUCCUAGAGCUGCUCUGGAGCAGGGUCUGCAAACUAUAACCCUUGGGAAAAAUUUACCCAUCUGCUUUUGUAAUAAAGUUUUAUUGGAACACAGCCACGCCCAUUCACUUACCUACUGUUCAUAUGUGUUUUCACGCUGUACAGGCUGAGUUGAGUGGCAUGAGAGAGGAAGUCUGGCCUGCAGAACUGAAAAUACUUAUGAUUUUCUCCUUCACAUAACAUUUAUUUUUUUUUUUUUUUGCCACCUCUGCUCUCAAAUCUUCUGUCCUGACAAAAAUUCACAGUGAAGGGGUAGCUGGGAGAGGUGGGUAGGAAUGGAGAAGGGAGGAGCUACAAGUUGAAUGGAACAUUCUCAUAGCAAUUCAGCCAAAAGCCCUGAAAUUGAACAGAAUCAUGACUUUUGUCACUUACUAGCUAUGGGUUUUGGGCAAGUUGCUUAGCUUUUAUGUAUCUCAGGUUCCACUUCUGCGAAACGGCUUUGACAAUUGUACUUAUUUCAUAGGGUGGUCAUGAGGAUUGGGGUGAUUAAUGUAAGCACUACCUAAUGCAUAAUGAGUGCACCUUUGAGAGAAGCUGUUAUUUUUUUUAUGACCAAUCCGAUGUUCCAGGCAGUAGGCUAGACAUGUCAUGUGCUUUAGCUCAGUUAAUCCUUGCACUGCCCCUUCAAGUUUGAUAUUAUUGUUUCCACUUCUCAGACCGGGAUCCAUAGCACAGAACAUGGCGUUAGGUCACAGGACUUGUGGCUGGCAAAAUGGUCAAUGUGAACCUAUAUCCUAUGGAUCCCUUAUGAGGAAAAGUGAUAGAGAAGCCCCAGGAAUCAUGGCAGGGGCUGGUUAGGGGCCUGAGAGACCCAAACCACCCCUCAGAGCCCAUGUCAGCACUAAGAGGGCUGUGAUGACAUUUCCCGAGUAGGCACAGAGACGUGGGCUUCUUGGAGGAUGAAGGCAGGAUGUACCCACCAACCUGUGGAGGAAAUGGCCUCUGCCGGAGACUGAACCCGCAUCCUCAUGGUUGCUAGUUGGGGUCAUUUCCCUUGAGCCAAAACUGGAGCUCUGGGCCUCUGGGUAUUUCAUUUUGAGAAAUGGAGCAGCGGUGACCCUUGUGUCAGGGAGUUAACAAGGUCUGCUUUGGGGUAUGGGGUGGAAUUGCAUGGUUUCUUCCAUUUCCUGUCACCCUCACCUUGAAUUUCUACCAUGGCCUCUUCAUGCCACCCCUGGAUGGACAGGAAAUGCCCAGGUUGGUACAGGGAGAAUAGGGCUGAGAUGAGGAUGGUAUUUAAUAGGCACAAUGCAUCCAGAGCAAGGGUGGGAGAGGAGGGUGGCAAAGCUACCAGUUGGUUCUUGAGGCUAAAUCACACAUAUUUUAAGGCAAACUCAAGAAGCUUUAUUCAGUUACCAGGGUCUAUUGAUGUCACUUGGACUGGAUCAAUAUAUCUUACUGGAGAAUUCAGAGGAGAAAAAUCUAUGUGGGGCCUGCUCUGUAGGGAAAGCAUGUUGAUGCCAGAGUGACAGCUCUGUGAGAAGAGUCUUAAGUCCUCAGGCACUGAUGUAUCUGCCAUCUCCCUGGUGGGAGCCUACCCCUACCGUAAAGGCAGGGCAAGUGACACAAGGGGAGAGUGACCAAGUGGGAAGCCAUCAUACAUUCAUGCACAAAAGGAUCCAGCACUUCCUGAGCUCCCACAGGCUGCCAGGCUGCCUGCUAGACACCAGAGUUUUAAGACUAACUCUGUGACUGUCCUUGAGGACAAGCUCUGAGUUUUCUUUGCUGGAGGAGUUGGCUCUGAGGGAGAUGCCAGUUUCCAGGGCCAGUGGCAGAGUAGGAGUGUGGCACUGGUUCCUUUGCCAGCUGCCUCUGUGAUGCUUUAUGGGAUAAUGAAAGGAUAGGUGGUUUCUCUAUAACCAGCUCCCACUCCCUACCUCCAAUUCUCAGGGUACAACAUAAUACCCAAGCCUGAAGACUGAGUCAUCAGGGUUGCUUAGUCU
rnacentral:lncRNA from 9 species